rnacentral:rRNA from 1 species
CGUGCUUAACACAUGCAAGUCGAGCGAGAAAGCUCCUUCGGGAGUGAGUACAGCGGCAGACGGGUGAGUAACGCGUGAGAAUCUGCCCUUUAGUGAAGAAUACCUCCGAGAAAUCGGGGUUAAUACUGCAUAAGUCCCUCGUGAAAACGAUGGAGAAAGAUGGCCUCUUUGCUGUCGCUAAAGGAUGAGCUUGCGUACUAUUAGCUAGUUGGUGAGGUAAAGGCUCACCAAGGCGAAGAUGGUUAACCGGCCUGAGAGGGUGUACGGUCACACUGGAACUUAGACACGGUCCAGACUCCUACGGGAGGCAGCAGUGAGGAAUAUUGCGCAAUGGACGAAAGUCUGACGCAGCGACGCCGCGUGGAGGAUGAAGGUUUUCGGAUUGUAAACUCCUGUUAAGUGGGAAGAAAUUCUUGUCUCUAAUACAGACAAGAGAUGACGGUACCAUUAGAGAAAGCACCGGCUAACUUCGUGCCAGCAGCCGCGGUAAUACGAGGGGUGCAAGCGUCAUUCGGAAUCAUUGGGCGUAAAGGGUGCGUAGGCGGCAUAUUAAGUCAGCUGUUAAAUUUCCCGGCCUAACCGGGAGUAUGCGGUCGAUACUGAUGUGCUAGAGGGUGGAAGAGAGAAGUGGAAUUCUCGGAGUAGCGGUAAAAUGCGUAGAUCUCGAGAGGAACACCGAUGGCGAAGGCAGCUUCUUGGUCCACAUCUGACGCUGAGUGCACGAAAGCGUGGGGAGCAAACAGGAUUAGAUACCCUGGUAGUCCACGCCGUAAACGAUGAUCACUAGACGUUAGUUCUGCUCUGCAGAAUUAGUGUCGUAGCUAACGCGUUAAGUGAUCCGCCUGGGGAUUACGGUCGCAAGAUUAAAACUUAAAGAAAUUGACGGGGGCCCGCACAAGCGGUGGAACAUGUGGUUUAAUUCGACACUACGCGAGAAACCUUACCUAGGCUUGACAUGCUUUUGACCGUCGUAGAAACACGAUCUUCUUAGCGAAAGCUAAGACAAAAGCACAGGUGCUGCAUGGCUGUCGUCAGCUCGUGUCGUGAGAUGUUUGGUUAAGUCCUCCAACGAGCGCAACUCUUGCCGUUAGUUGCAAUCCCUCUGGGAGCACUCUAACGGGACUGCCCGGGAAACCGGGAGGAAGGUGGGAAUGACGUCAAGUCCUCAUGGCCCUUAUGCCUAGGGCAACACACGUGUUACAAUGGCCGAUACAGAGGGCUGCAAGACCGUAAGGUGGAGCUAAUCCCAGAAAGUCGGUCUAAGUUCGGAUCGAGGUCUGCAAUUCGACCUCGUGAAGUUGAAAUCGCUAGUAAUCGCGCAUCAGCAGUGGCGCGGUGAAUACGUUCUCGGGCCUUGUACACACCGCCCGUCAAGCCAUGAAAGCUGUCUGUACCCAAAACUGCUUUAGCCAACUCGUAAGAGAGGCGAGCAACUAAGGUAUGGGGAGUGAUUGGGGCUAAGUCGUAACAAGGUAGCCGUA